UCUGGCUUGUGACCAUUUUGAUGAUCC
rnacentral:piRNA from 1 species